rnacentral:ncRNA from 1 species
GGUUAAUUUGGCUUUGGUUAUAAUAUAAAUUAUUAUUAAAUUAAUAUAUGUUAAAUUUAAAUAUAAAUGUUUUAUUUAUUUAUUUAUUUUGUUUAAUUUAUUUAAUAUAAAUUAAAUAUAUAAAUAUCAUUUUUAAUAUUAUAUUAUAAUGAUGAAAAUAAAUUACGCAGUAUUUAUUAUUAUACAAUGAAUGAAAGUUUGAUAUAGUUAAUGUAAUAUAAAAGUGGUUAAAUUGGUGCCAGCAUCUGCGGUUAUACUAAUACUUUAAAUUUAUAUUUAUACAGUAUAAAAUAAAGUAAAAAGGUUUAUUGUGUUUAGAUUAAUUAAGGGCAAAUAAUUGUAGGUAAAAUUUAAUAAUUGUUAUUAAUCAUAUUACUCUAAUUAUAUAUUCUUUGAAAAUAAGAAUGAAAACUAGGAUUAGAUACCCUAUUAUUCUUUAUUUUAAAAAUUUUAUUACUUAAGUAGUGUGAACAUAAUGUUAAAAUAGUAUAGAAAUUAAUUGAUUUUUUUUUUAAUGUUUGAAACUUAAAAGGCUUGGCGGUGUCAUAUAUCCUUCCAGAGGAGUUUGCUUAUUAAUUUGAUAAUCCUCAAUUUAUACUUACUUUUUUUUGAAUGAUUUUAAUAAUUAAUCAGUUUGUAUAUUGCUGUCAUCAGUUUAUUUUGUAAAGAUUAGGUAAGAAACUUAAUAAUUAAGAAGUUAUUAUGUCAAGUCAAAAUGCAGCUAAUAAAAAAGGUUUAUAAAGUGAACUACGAUUUAUAAUUUUUAAUCGGAUUAAAUUAUGUAAUUAGUUUUUGAAGUUGGAUUUGGUAGUAAUAUUAUAAUAGUGAGUUUUUAUGAAUUAGGUUUUGUGAUGCGUACAUAUCGCCCGUCGCUCUUGUUGGAAGAUAAGAUAAGUCGUAACAUAGUAGAUGUAGUGGAAACUGUUUCUGGAGUGUA